UGGCCCCAGAAAUCAAGGAUGGGUGAGACCUCUUGCACAAGUGGAAGGCGACCCAUACUUGGUUUCAGGGGCUU
ncrna:Ornithorhynchus anatinus (platypus) microRNA oan-mir-551 precursor